GAACUGCGAUAAGUAAUGUGAAUUGCAGAAUUCAGUGAAUCAUCGAGUCUUUGAACGCACAUUGCGCCCCCUGGCAUUCCGGGGGGCAUGCCUGUCCGAGCGUCAUUGCUGCCCUUCAAGCCCGGCUUGUGUGUUGGGUCGUCGUCCCCUCCGGGGGACGGGCCCGAAAGGCAGCGGCGGCACCGCGUCCGGUCCUCGAGCGUAUGGGGCUUUGUCACCCGCUCGAUAAGGACUGGCCGGGCGCCAGCCGGCGUCUCCAACCUUUUUUUCUCAGGUUGACCUCGGAUCAGGUAGGGAUACCCGCUGAACUUAAGC
rnacentral:misc_RNA from 1 species